rnacentral:sRNA from 1 species
GGAAGAAGUACCACUAAUAAUGAUGGC